UGGGAGUCUGCAGCACUGAGAGAAUUGCUGUAAUUGCAGGCAGUUGGCAGAGAAAUCAGGCGCCUGCCUCUAGUCCCUUAGGCUGCGUUCCCGGGGGACCCCCAGUUUAGAGACCCUCCCACUGAGACUUGGCUCCCUGAGCUGAUCCUCCCGUGUGGAUGUUGACCACAGCUUGUUUGCAUAUGGCUUGAAUUUUGGUUAGGGGCUUUCUGAUUGCAGCCUGAUUUGUCAUUUAAAAUAUUAUGCACAGAAAUUAGGAUGCACAUGGAAUUUUGAUUCCAGCCGUUCUUUGUGCUUGGAGAGACAAGGCUUCUCCCAGGGAAGUCUGUAGAAUAUGCUGUGCAAGGGAACCUCUGCAACUUUCCAGGAGUUUCAGUUACUCAGGGAGUCAUGGCAACCAGGUCUCAAUGUCAGCAGUCUAGGUUCUGGUCCUGGUUCUGCCACCGAUGUCAGUGGAACUUAGGGCAAGUCUGAUCAUCGAGUUGAGUGUCACUUUCAUUCUCUAUGAGAUGGAGAUAAUAAAAAGCAGCAUCGGAGAGAUGUUGUGGGGACCAAAUGAAAUACUGAAGGCAAAUGUUUAUCACCGUGUCUGGCAAAUAAUACACAGUAGCUUCUAUUAAUAAUUACAAAGGGCUUAGCAAAUAGUAGGUAUUGCAUCAGUGGUUCCUAUUGUUGUCAUUAUUAUUAAAACACAUAUCUGACCAUGUGCACUUCAUGUUUUGAGAUCCUUUGUUAAUCCUCAUGCCUUUAGAACUGUUUUUCAAAUUGUACUGCUUGGUGCCCUGGGAGUUCUGAGGCUGAAGACCUCUCUGUUUGAUGUUCAGGUAACUAAGGCUGAGAGUGAUAAACCAUCCAAGGUCACACAGAUAUGAAAUUACAGACCCUGGAGUCCAACCCAGUUCCUGCCACAUUUCUACCCAAUGUACCUCAUGAUCCAGGCGCACUGGACUUCUCUCUCUUCCUAAAAUUCUAUAUUUAUACUGCUUUGUACAAAUUCUUGCUGCCUGGAAACCUCUUUCCAUUUAUUUGUCUGUCUAAAGUACAUCUUUGUCUGAAAAACCUUCCCGGGCCU
rnacentral:lncRNA from 1 species